rnacentral:rRNA from 1 species
UACAGAGGGUGCAAGCGUUGUUCGGAAUCAUUGGGCGUAAAGCGCACGUAGGCGGCUUUGCAAGUCAGGUGUGAAAGCCUGGGGCUCAACCCCAGAAGUGCAUUUGAAACUGCAGAGCUUGAGUGUCGGAGAGGGUGGUGGAAUUCCGAGUGUAGAGGUGAAAUUCGUAGAUAUCGGAAGGAACAUCAGUGGCGAAAGCGACUUCCUGGACCAAUACUGACGCUCAUGUGCGAAAGCGUGGGGAGCAAACAGG